CCUCAUAAGGAACUACCACUGGAAGGAACAAAAGUUCAAUUCUCAUAUACAAAGAGAAGUGUUACAUAUACUGCUAUCAAAAUAGCGCAGUAGCUGGAGGAGAACUUAGGGCUGAGUCCGCACUGGGAGUGAAGGAUGAACGUAAGGGAUUGAUUAGAUGUCUGACUCUGAUGGGAGAGCAGCAACGUUCAACACACUCGAAAUUUCAUCGCACGGCGUCAUGA
rnacentral:lncRNA from 1 species